rnacentral:tRNA from 1 species
GCGUUGGUGGCUCAGGGUUAAGCACUUGACUUGCAAUCUGCAGGUCGUAGGUUAGAAUCCUACCAUGUA